AUACGGAGGGUGCAAGCGUUAAUCGGAAUUACUGGGCGUAAAGAGUACGUAGGUGGUUUAUUAAGUCAGAUGUGAAAGCCCCGGGCUCAACCUGGGAACUGCAUUUGAAACUAGUAGACUAGAGUAUGGUAGAGGGGGGUAGAAUUUCUAGUGUAGCGGUGAAAUGCGUAGAUAUUAGAAGGAAUACCAGUGGCGAAGGCGGCCCCCUGGACCAAUACUGACACUGAGGUACGAAAGCGUGGGUAGCGAACAGCAUUAGAAACCCCUGUAGUCC
rnacentral:rRNA from 1 species